CCCAUUAGAAGUUAGAACCCGCGAGAACCCGCAAGAAACGUAGCAGUGCGCCGCUGCCGCUGCCGCCGCCGCUGCCGCCGCCGCCCUCCGCCUGCAUCUCCUUACGCAGCGUACGAGCCGAGGGAACCAGCGCCGCCUUCGUCGCCCUUCGUCCACAUCUCAUCACGUCGUGGAGUUGGGAAGGGGCACUGCCAUCAUCGCCCUCUGUCUGCCAUCUCCUCGCGCUCCGCCACGGCAACGGCCGCUGCCGCCGCCGUGCGGCCCUCCAGUGGAGGAGGGCAGCACGCAGCGGCAUGCCUUCAUCGCGGAGUACCUCAUGCAGUUCUCCCCGGCCUUGUCCUCAUUCGCUGCUCUGGAACUGCCCCGCGCUCAGGACCUUCCCGAUAAUCCCGAGAACGAGAAUCAAAUGGUGGAUUGAGUUACCUGGAGCAGCAUUCAAAAAUAUAGGCAAUUCAAACAUUAGCAUCUGUCAAGUUGACUGUCCCAAGAAUGACAAUAUGACAAGACCCAUACCUCUGAAUUGUUCCCAACAGAUUUAAGUUUACAACAUUUUUUAUUUUCUACAGCUUGAUUACUACACUAGAUUUGGGUAAUAUAUUCUGCACAUCAUUUUAUUGUUCAA